AUUGAACGUUUGCGGCAUGCCUUACACAUGCAAGUCGAACGGCAGCACGGAGCUUGCUCUGGUGGCGAGUGGCGAACGGGUGAGUAAUAUAUCGGAACGUACCCUGGAGUGGGGGAUAACGUAGCGAAAGUUACGCUAAUACCGCAUACGAUCUAAGGAUGAAAGUGGGGGACUCGCAAGAGCCUCAUGCUCGUGGAGCGGCCGAUAUCUGAUUAGCUAGUUGGUAGGGUAAAAGCCUACCAAGGCAUCGAUCAGUAGCUGGUCUGAGAGGACGACCAGCCACACUGGAACUGAGACACGGUCCAGACUCCUACGGGAGGCAGCAGUGGGGAAUUUUGGACAAUGGGCGCAAGCCUGAUCCAGCAAUGCCGCGUGAGUGAAGAAGGCCUUCGGGUUGUAAAGCUCUUUUGUCAGGGAAGAAACGGUGAGAGCUAAUAUCUUUUGCUAAUGACGGUACCUGAAGAAUAAGCACCGGCUAACUACGUGCCAGCAGCCGCGGUAAUACGUAGGGUGCAAGCGUUAAUCGGAAUUACUGGGCGUAAAGCGUGCGCAGGCGGUUUUGUAAGUCUGAUGUGAAAUCCCCGGGCUCAACCUGGGAAUUGCAUUGGAGACUGCAAGGCUAGAAUCUGGCAGAGGGGGGUAGAAUUCCACGUGUAGCAGUGAAAUGCGUAGAUAUGUGGAGGAACACCGAUGGCGAAGGCAGCCCCCUGGGUCAAGAUUGACGCUCAUGCACGAAAGCGUGGGGAGCGAACAGGAUUAGAUACCCUGGUAGUCCACGCCCUAAACGAUGUCUACUAGUUGUCGGGUCUUAAUUGACUUGGUAACGCAGCUAACGCGUGAAGUAGACCGCCUGGGGAGUACGGUCGCAAGAUUAAAACUCAAAGGAAUUGACGGGGACCCGCACAAGCGGUGGAUGAUGUGGAUUAAUUCGAUGCAACGCGAAAAACCUUACCUACCCUUGACAUGGAUGGAAUCCCGAAGAGAUUUGGGAGUGCUCGAAAGAGAACCAUUACACAGGUGCUGCAUGGCUGUCGUCAGCUCGUGUCGUGAGAUGUUGGGUUAAGUCCCGCAACGAGCGCAACCCUUGUCAUUAGUUGCUACGAAAGGGCACUCUAAUGAGACUGCCGGUGACAAACCGGAGGAAGGUGGGGAUGACGUCAAGUCCUCAUGGCCCUUAUGGGUAGGGCUUCACACGUCAUACAAUGGUACAUACAGAGCGCCGCCAACCCGCGAGGGGGAGCUAAUCGCAGAAAGUGUAUCGUAGUCCGGAUUGUAGUCUGCAACUCGACUGCAUGAAGUUGGAAUCGCUAGUAAUCGCGGAUCAGCAUGUCGCGGUGAAUACGUUCCCGGGUCU
rnacentral:rRNA from 1 species